rnacentral:misc_RNA from 1 species
CUCCUCCCGCGAUUCCGAAGUCCAACCCGGAAACUUGAGGCCACGGGCGUAAAUGAAAAUCACAGCCCCUUGUGAAUUGUGACUCGAUCCGAUUCUUACCUGUUUCUCCGCCCAGGAUCCAAUUACUUAACUACUUCGAUUUCAUUGCCUUCAAAUCGAAGCAAACCCCUUGAUUCUUUUGCUAUUUUCUGUGCAAAAAGAACUCAAACAGAUCUUCACAGGGAAUAAAGGAAAAUACAGAAGAAAAAUGGCGGGACGGUUUGGUUCUGCACCCUCGACGAUGAUCGUGACCAACACUCCAGCGUCGGAUCUCGCUCUCACCAACCUCGCCUAUUGCUCAGCGUCCGAUCUACACAACUUCGCCGUCCCUGGAACCAAGUUCUUCAUGGCGUUAAUCGACGAUUCCUUUGUUUUAUCUCUUUCUCCUCACGAAAACAUUCGUCCAAGUAAUAUUGCCCUGAAUGCUAUUCAACGUCGGCAUGCAAGGGUUUCUACUGGAGACUCCAUUUCUGUGAGCAGGUUUAUCCCUCCUGAAAAUUUUAACCUUGCAUUGCUGACACUUGAGUUAGAAUUUGUGAAGAAGGGCACUAAGAAUGAACAGGUGGAUGCUGUUUUACUGGCCAACCAACUCAGAAAGAGAUUUAUUAACCAGGUUAUGACGACAGAGCAAAGAGUAUCAUUUGAGUAUCAUGGGAACAAUUAUAUUUUUACUGUCAAUCAAGCUGUUGUAGAGGGCCGAGAGAAAUCUAAUGAUUUUGAAAGAGGGAUGGUUUCAAGUGACACCUACUUCAUCUUUGAAGCAUCAAAUUCAAGUGGCAUAAAGAUUGUUAAUCAACGUGAAGCUGCCAGUAGCAACAUCUUUAGGCAUAAGGAAUUUAAUCUUGAGUCACUGGGUAUAGGUGGCUUAAGUGCAGAGUUUGCAGAUAUAUUUCGAAGAGCUUUUGCCUCUCGAGUUUUUCCUCCCCACGUGACAAGCAAAUUGGGCAUUAAGCACGUAAAGGGAAUGCUACUUUAUGGGCCUCCUGGUACUGGAAAAACUCUCAUGGCUCGUCAAAUUGGGAAAAUGUUGAACGGGAGGGAACCAAAGAUUGUUAAUGGCCCUGAAGUCCUGAGCAAGUUUGUUGGUGAAACUGAAAAGAAUGUUAGAGACCUGUUUGCUGAUGCUGAAAAUGAUCAGAGGACACAUGGGGACCAAAGUGAUUUGCAUGUAAUAAUUUUUGAUGAGAUUGAUGCUAUAUGUAAGUCAAGAGGAUCAACAAGAGAUGGCACAGGAGUUCAUGAUAGCAUUGUGAACCAGCUGCUUACAAAGAUAGAUGGUGUGGAGUCUCUGAAUAAUGUUUUACUUAUUGGAAUGACCAACAGAAAGGAUUUGCUUGAUGAAGCACUUUUGAGACCUGGACGAUUGGAAGUUCAAGUUGAGAUAAGCCUUCCUGAUGAAAAUGGUCGUCUGCAAAUUCUUCAAAUUCAUACAAACAAGAUGAAGGAGAAUUCUUUUCUUGCUCCUGAUGUGAACCUUCAAGAGCUUGCUGCUCGGACCAAAAAUUACAGUGGGGCAGAACUUGAAGGUGUUGUAAAAAGCGCAGUAUCAUUUGCUUUGAAUAGACAACUAAGUUUGGAUGAUCUUACUAAGCCAGUAGAUGAAGAGAGUAUUAAAGUUACAAUGGAUGAUUUCCUACAUGCACUCCUAGAAAUUGUUCCUGCAUUUGGGGCCUCCACUGAUGAUCUUGAACGAUGCAGACUUAAUGGCAUGGUGGAAUGUGGUGAUCGACAUGACCAUAUUUAUCAUAGAGCUAGGCUACUGGUGGAGCAAGUUAAAGUUAGCAAAGGAAGUCCACUUGUUACUUGCCUCCUGGAAGGUCCAAGUGGCAGUGGUAAAACUGCUUUGGCAGCUACUGUUGGCAUUGACAGUGAUUUUCCAUAUGUCAAGAUAGUUUCAGCUGAAUCAAUGAUUGGCCUUCAUGAGAGCACUAAAUGUGCACAGAUUGUUAAGGUGUUUGAGGAUGCAUACAAGUCACCGCUAAGCAUUAUAAUUCUUGACGACAUUGAGAGACUACUGGAAUAUGUUGCCAUUGGGCCACGCUUUUCAAAUUUGAUUUCUCAGACAUUGUUGGUUCUCCUCAAACGUCUUCCUCCAAAGGGAAAGAAACUUAUGGUGAUAGGGACAACAAGUGAAGUCGGUUUUUUAGAUUCAAUUGGCAUUUGUGAUGCUUUCUCUGUCACUUACCAUGUUCCCACAUUGAAGGCAGAAGAUGCAAAGAAGGUAUUGAGACAACUUAAUGUUUUUGCUCGAGAAGAUGUUGAUGCAGCUGCUGAAGCACUCAAUGAUAUGCCAAUCAAGAAGCUAUAUAUGUUGAUUGAGAUGGCAGCCCAAGGUGAGCAAGGAGGGGCUGCAGAAGCAAUCUACUCUGGCAAACAAAAGAUCAAGAUUGCUCAUUUUUACGAUUGCCUUCAAGAUGUUGUACGAUACUAAUCAAGUCCCUUUUCCCUUGCCUUACCCACUCCAUCGUUCCCUCUAUAUAUUUUCCAUCCCAGCUUCUUGUGCUGGAAUUUUUUUUUUUUAAUUUUUUUCAAAUUUAGCAUGUGUUAUUCUCAAUCUUUUGAGGCAUUAAAAUCUGAAUUAGGCUUGGCAAGUUUUAUGGGUGUUUGAAAGUUGAGAAGAACAUGAAAUAGUAGGGUGAAGAUUAAAGGAAUUGUUUGCCAAUAGUUAUGCCAUUGAAGAUGAAGGGUAUGUUUGUUUUAACUGUUUGAUGUAAUUAUUGUUAGUUUAUGUUAAGUGUUUGAUAAAAUUAUAUUAUAUUUAACCAUAACUGUUGAUAUGUAAAAUUAUUAAUGGGUGAAUAUUA